GAGGCCAGAGUUGAAAGUCCUCGAGCAUAUGCCUGAACGAAAGGGGAAGAGGCUGGGUCUCCUCCCUGCAGGCUGGGCCCUGGCUUCCCUCCUGCUCCUGGAUCUAGGAGGGCAAAGCAGAGAGCCACACUCCCAUGCAUGGCCUUUUCAUAUACAGUGAUCCCCCCAGCACUGUUCAUCAGUUUACCUCCCUGUCUUGGGAUCUGAGGAGUGGAUGAACAAUUUACCCACAAUGCUGGCAGAGGGGGAGGAGAGGAGGUAAGGAGGAGGAGAAGAGAAGAAAGGUCUCCUGGAUGAGCCUCACCCCCACUUGGGGUCUACAGCUCACUGAAGUGCAGAUGUGGUAGAGGAGAGCUAACCACAGCUCUCGUGGUUGAGAUGGUUCGAGAAGACCGAACCAUCACCCUAAGGACGUAGCAGAGUAACGAGAAAGAAGGACUCAUGCAACAGAGCUGCCUUUCCUUCCCGGACCAAUUAGUCUAAACUUCAGAAACAUCUCAAAGAAUGACAAUAACUGAGGCCCCUUGGAAUCUCUGCAAAACUGCAUCUAUGAGCAGCUCUCCAUGUCAGAGACCCCUUGAGCUGCCCAGCCAACCAUGAGGCUGUGAAGAUGGUAAUGGCAGAGGGAAACGAAACUUGAGGAAGUGAUGGGACUCACCUGCGGCCACACAGCUGCCAAUCCAAGACAGGAGGCAAGCCAUGGAGUCUGACAGCAGUCUGUGUACAUGGGGCCAUUUCAUCCAGCCAAGAACGCUGGCCUUGGAGAUGGGAUGGUGGACUCCAAGCUUGUCUUAGCGCACUGGGUGCCCAUAAGGUAGCCUUCUCACUGAUCUCUCCACACUCUCAAUCAACGGGGACAAGUGGGGAACAUUUCCAGAAAGAGAUUUCAGAUGGAGACUGAAAGCAUUUGAGAGUCAGCCUGGCCCAGGAGAAAGCACAAAGUCUUUGGAGUUAGGUUAUCAGGGUCCACACCUAAGACCACUGCUCUCUGUGGGAGAAUGAGUUGCGAGGGUUUAAUAAGAGAUUGAUGCAUGUAAAGCACCUGAUACACAGUAAGUACUAAAUUAUAGCAAUAAUUAUGACAACAUGUAUCUAAGGCUUGUUAUGUGCCAGGCACCGUGCUGAGCGUUUCCUGGAUAGGCCUCGCAUCAACUCUAUGAAACCAGUGACAGCAAUAUUCUUCCAUCUGACAAAUGAGGAAAGAGGCACAAAAACGAUUAAGAGAAUUGCUGAGGGUCACACAGGUAGUAGGGAGAAGAGUGGCUGAACUGUGAACCCUGGCUCAACAGACAGGGCCCUGAACCAGUGUGCUAUACCAUGCCCUUUUGUAAGUUGCAUCCCUGGUAAAAUAGAACUAACUCCCUUUUACUUCCCCUAAAACCGACUUUAGCAAAUUUCAGAAAGGAUCCUGGACCCAAUACCGCAGGCCUUGAUGGCUGCUCCCCAAGCGAGAGUCUUCUUGACUUCCCCUCCCAGCCUCACCCCUCUGGGCUGAGGCCAUCCUGAUGCCCCCGGCCCCCCCACCGCCUACAUUUCCCAGGCUGGUACAGAACCCCUCUCAAGCCAGCCUGCCUGGAUUCUAUUUAGACAUUCUUCUCGGAAGCAGAUAGCACAGAUGCUUUGCUGAGUGAGAAGCAUGUACAAGUUUACCCCAAAUGUCAAAGGACAAGACAGAUGGGUGCCCCUCAAUGUAUUCUCGUCCCACCCAGCAGCAGGCCACCCACCAGCCUCCCAUCCAGCCCUAACCCCCUGGGGGCCCCACCAAGCUGGUGAUUCUCUCUCUCUCCUGGUCGUCAUUUCUCAUUUCUCACUCUGGGAGGGAAGAAAGGUCAGUGGGAGAUAAAUUUCCACGCAGACAUCUCCAUUAGUCACUACGCCCGCCCAGAGGACUGAGGGAAUUAAAAUGUAUUGAGCAUCUUCUGAGAGCAGGCCUCCAGGUGUGGCAUGUAUAUACUCAUGUGUAUUUCCCAUCCAUAACAUGAAGAUACCUAUUGUACAGUGCUGUAUGGGGAUGAGAUCAAAUAAA